rnacentral:rRNA from 1 species
CCUACGGGAGGCAGCAGUGAGGAAUAUUGCUCAAUGGGGGUAACCCUGAUGCAGCGACGCCGCGUGAGUGAAGAAGUAUCUCGGUAUGUAAAGCUCUAUCUGUAGGGAAGAAAAUGACGGUACCUGACUAAGAAUCCCCGUCUAACUACGUGCCAGCUGCCGCGGUAAGACGUAGGCGGCAAGCGUUAUCCGGAUUUACUGGGUGUAAAGGGAGCGUAGACGGCCAGACAAGUCAGAAGUGAAAGCCCAGGGCUCAACCCUGGGACUGCUGUUGAAACUGCCGGGCUGGAGUGCAGGUGAGGUAAGCGGAAUUCGUAGUGUAGCGGUGAAAUGCGUAGAUAUUAGGAGGAACACCAGUGGCGAAGGCGGCUUACUGGACUAUAACUGACGUUGAGGCUCGAAAGCGUGGGGAGCAAACAGGAUUAGAUACCCUAGUAGUC